UACGAAGGGGGCUAGCGUUGUUCGGAAUUACUGGGCGUAAAGGGCGCGUAGGCGGUGUGUCAAGUCAGGCGUGAAAGCCCCGGGCUCAACCUGGGAACAGCGCUUGAGACUGGCACGCUCGAGUUCGGGAGAGGAUGGUGGAAUUCCCAGUGUAGAGGUGAAAUUCGUAGAUAUACGAAGGAACGCCAAAAGCGAAGGCAGCUCUCUGGGUCCCUACCGACGCUGGGGUGCGAAAGCAUGGGGAGCGAACAGG
rnacentral:rRNA from 1 species